GAUAUGUCGAGAUAGUAAAAGAGGAAGCACAAUUCAGCAACAUGCAACAGAACUAUGAAGACAGCCAGACCAGUGGAGGGAUAAUAAUUAUACCUUAUAUCAGUCUUUGGGACUACUUUAUCCCUUUUGGGGUCAUAGGGAGGGCACACAUUUGGGCAAAGGCAGGUCCACCUCUGGAUGAGUCUCCGGUUCAUUGCAGGGCCCUAUGCAUGAGAGGAAACUUGGGUCUUACAGCUGCAGUCUUGACUGUUAUGUCGGUUUUGACCUUCAGUCUAAUGUCUCUUCUUUGUCUAUGGUGCAAAAGGAAAUCCAAGAUCGUUCAAGAGGAUCAUCAAAUUUACCCCCCGCGGACAUUCCGUCACGGUGGAAGCAUAUUUGCUGUGACUAGAUCAAAAACAGUCAUCAGAGCCAGUCAAAUCGCUUCUGGGGAACCCUGUUUCAAUAUUUCAACGGAUACUGUAGAGAACCAGUCAGACUAUGAAAACGUAAUGAGCGCUCAAACAGGAAGCACGGAACACGCAUACAUUGAACCGCUGCCUGUUAUAACACCUGGAAACGAAGAACAUUUUAAAAAGAUGAGCGAGGAGGAUCAGACUCCUGGAGUCUACGGAAACAUUGCAUGUUCACCUUCACAAGAAGACGAGGACUACGAGAACAUGGAGUACCUGAAUGAAGUUGAGGAGAAGCAAGAAAACGGUACAUGCUCACAUUAUUUUAGGACAUUUCAUAGAAAUGGAGGUCUUUACCGAUAA
ensembl:lncRNA